rnacentral:snRNA from 1 species
AGGGACAAUGUCCCACAUCGAAA